CUACGGGUGGCUGCAGUGGGGAAUAUUGGACAAUGGGCGAAAGCCUGAUCCAGCCAUGCCGCGUGUGUGAAGAAGGCCUUCGGGUUGUAAAGCACUUUCAGUGGGGAAGAAAGCCUUGGGGCUAAUACCCUCGAGGAAGGACAUCACCCACAGAAGAAGCACCGGCUAACUCCGUGCCAGCAGCCGCGGUAAUACGGAGGGUGCGAGCGUUAAUCGGAAUUACUGGGCGUAAAGCGCGCGUAGGCGGUCUGAUAAGCCGGUUGUGAAAGCCCCGGGCUCAACCUGGGAACGGCAUCCGGAACUGUCAGGCUAGAGUGCAGGAGAGGAAGGUAGAAUUCCCGGUGUAGCAGUGAAAUGCGUAGAGAUCGGGAGGAAUACCAGUGGCGAAGGCGGCCUUCUGGACUGACACUGACGCUGAGGUGCGAAAGCGUGGGUAGCAAACAGGAUUAGAUACCCUAGUAGUC
rnacentral:rRNA from 1 species